rnacentral:rRNA from 1 species
ACGGGAGGCAGCAGUGGGGGAUAUUAGACAAUGGGGGAAACCCUGAUCUAGCAACGCCGCGUGAAGGAUGAAGGUCUUCGGAUUGUAAACUUCUUUGACGAGGGAAGAUAAUGACGGUACCUCGAAAACAAGCCACGGCUAACUACGUGCCAGCAGCCGCGGUAAUACGUAGGUGGCGAGCGUUGUCCGGAUUUACUGGGUGUAAAGGGCGUGUAGGCGGGAUCGUAAGUCAGAUGUGAAAUGCAGAGGCUUAACCUCUGAGCUGCAUUUGAAACUGCGAUUCUUGAGUGAUGGAGAGGUAAGCGGAAUUCCCAGUGUAGCGGUAAAAUGCGUAGAUAUUGGGAGGAACACCAGUGGCGAAGGCGGCUUACUGGACAUUAACUGACGCUGAGGCGCGAAAGUGUGGGGAGCAAACAGGAUUAGAUACCCUGGUA